UGUUUGCUCCCAGUCUGUUCCAGACGGACGGGAAGGGGGAGCAUGAGGUGAAGAUUAUCGAGGACCUCAUCGACAACUAUCUGUACCUCUUUGAUAUCGAUGAGGAGCAUCAGACUCAGAUCGAGCUGGAGAUCAGCCUCAUCACCACCUGGAAGGACACUCAGCUUUCUCAGGCAGGUGACCUGAUCAUUGAGGUCUAUCUGGAGAAGAAGACUCCAGACUGCUGCAUCACUCUCAAAGUGUCUCCCACCAUGAGUGCCGAGGAGCUGACCAAUCAGGUUCUGUUCAUGAGGAACGUCCCGGCCGGGGACAAAGACUUGUGGAUGACGUUUGAAGCAAUGGAAGACGGACAGCUGGAGCGUCCGUUACACCCCAAAGAGAGAGUCCUGGAGCAGGCUCUGCAGUGGUGCAAAAUGGCCGACCCAAGCUCCGCCUACCUGGUGGUGAAGAGAGUUCCUAAAGGAGAAGGAAUCACCCUGCUCACCUGUAGGUCCUGAUGACCUCAUACAAUGCUACACACUGUACUACACACUAUACUACUGACUGCACUACACAUCAUACUAGUCACUGUACUACACAGCAUACUAGUCACUGUACUACACACUGUACUCCACACUGUACUACACACCAUACUAGUCACUAUACGACACACUAUACUACUCACUGUACUACACACUAUACUACACACUCUACUACUCACUAUACUACUUACUGUACUACACACUACUACACACUAUAUUACUCACUGUACUACACACUAUACUACUCACUGUACUACACACUAUACUACUCACUCUACACACUAUACUACUCACUGUACUACACACUAUACUACACACUCUACUA
ensembl:lncRNA